rnacentral:rRNA from 1 species
GUGCCAGCCGCCGCGGUAAUACGGAGGGUGCAAGCGUUAUCCGGAUUCAUUGGGUUUAAAGGGUGCGCAGGCGGAUACUUAAGUCAGUGGUGAAAUCCCGGGGCUCAACCCCGGAACUGCCAUUGAUACUGAAUAUCUGGAAUACGGUUGAAGUGGGCGGAAUNGUAGCAUGUAGCGGUGAAAUGCAUAGAGAUGCUACAGAACACCGAUCGCGAAGGCAGCUCACUAAGCCGAUAUUGACGCUCAGGCACGAAAGCGUGGGGAGCGAACAGGAUUAGAUACCCUGGUAGUCCACGCCGUAAACGAUGAUAACUCGUUGUUGGCGACACACAGUCAGCGACUAAGCGAAAGCGAUAAGUUAUCCACCUGGGGAGUACGAUCGCAAGGUUGAAACUCAAAUGAAUUGGCGG